UACGUAGGGUGCAAGCGUUAAUCGGAAUUACUGGGCGUAAAGCGUGCGCAGGCGGUGAUGUAAGACAGUUGUGAAAUCCCCGGGCUCAACCUGGGAACUGCAUCUGUGACUGCAUCGCUGGAGUGCGGCAGAGGGGGAUGGAAUUCCGCGUGUAGCAGUGAAAUGCGUAGAUAUGCGGAGGAACACCGAUGGCGAAGGCAAUCCCCUGGGCCUGCACUGAUGCUGAGGAACGAAAGCGUGGGGAGCGAACAGG
rnacentral:rRNA from 1 species